GGGAGACCAGCGAACGGCACACAGCGCGAGGCUGAAGCCAGUUCCGGUAAAAUCCGUUGGGAAUUAAACCUGGCGCGUGGCCAUUAAAGAUCUGUUUCUGACCAGGAUAUUAAACCAAAAUUAUACGUCAAUAUGGGCAUAGGUUGGAAAUAGAAUUACAUAAUCUGUUAUCUGUUGUUCAUACCCGAACGGUAUUCUUUCUGCUGUCCUAUAUAUAAAGAGGAAAGAAGGGAGAAGGUCGAUAUCGGACCACUGGAAAAUGCUGUUGUAGUUGCAGUAACAGGUGAAAAAGAAAUGCCAGACAAACUCUGUGGAAGUCACUAGCGGAAUUACAAAAGGUAAAGAAAAUCAGCGAACAGAAUUGCAUGUAGUGCUAUUAAUAAGGAAAAGGAGCUUGGAAGAUGAAAGAUCUGAAGAUAGAAAAGUCACCUGGACUGGGUCAUACAGUGUAUCAGGAGCCUGCCUGGGGUGUGUGGGCAUUCCCAGAGCAUUAGGACCUGGAGUGAAGGCUUCAGCAGAACCAACAGAUGGAUUAAUGGAAAAAUAAAAUGUAGAAUAUUCAGGCUGCAAAGAGAGAUUCUUUGAAUUGUUACAUGCAUCCAGAGAUCAGCAAAUGUCUGAUGGUGAAUUUUGAUUCCUAGGUUUCGCCAAGUCACAGACUAACAUUUGACAUGUGGUUUGAACUGUGCAUUUCAU